AAGUCGUAACAAGGUUUCCGUAGGUGAACCUGCGGAAGGAUCAUUAAAAAAAAAUAUUAUACAUCUCUUCUAGGAUUAAACACUAAAUGUUAUAUUUCAACAAGUUUAAAAUAAAAAACUUUCAACAACGGAUCUCUUGGUUCUC
rnacentral:misc_RNA from 1 species